GACGAACCGUGCGAACGUUGUUCGGAAUCACUGGGCUUAAAGGGCGCGUAGGCGGCCGGGCAGGUCCGAGGUGAAAGCCCGCGGCUCAACCGCGGGACGGCGUCGGAAACCGCCCGGCUCGAGGGCCGCAGGGGUGCGUGGAACUUCCGGUGGAGCGGUGAAAUGCGUAGAGAUCGGGAGGAACACCUGUGGCGAAGGCGGCCGACUGGGCCGACCCUGACGCUGAGGCGCGAAGGCGUGGGGAGCGAACGGG
rnacentral:rRNA from 1 species